rnacentral:sRNA from 1 species
GUAAUCCAAAGUUGUUCGAGCUUUUAUAUACUCUGGUUUCAGACUUAAAUAAAGUUAAGUUUGAGGCUAUGAUUACAAGUUCGAACAACGACAAAAAAAGAUUAUUUUAUUCAAAUCUUUAAAACUUCCUCCCCUUUUCCCCCCUCAUUCCAAAAAACAGACAAAAAA